AGAACGAACGCUGGCGGCAUGCCUAACACAUGCAAGUCGAACGCUCCUGGGGCUUCGGUCUCAGGGGAGUGGCGCACGGGUGAGUAGCGCGUGGGAACCUGCCCUGUUGUGGGGGAUAACCGAGGGAAACUUCGGCUAAUACCGCAUAAGCCGGUUGUCUUGAAAGAGAUGGCCGGGAAAGAUUUAUCGCGACAGGAGGGGCCCGCGUCGGAUUAGCUAGUUGGUGGGGUAACGGCCCACCAAGGCAGUGAUCCGUAGCUGGUCUGAGAGGAUGAUCAGCCACACUGGGACUGAGACACGGCCCAGACUCCUACGGGAGGCAGCAGUGGGGAAUAUUGGACAAUGGGCGCAAGCCUGAUCCAGCAAUGCCGCGUGAGUGAUGAAGGCCUUAGGGUUGUAAAGCUCUUUCGCCCGCGACGAUGAUGACGGUAGCGGGAGAAGAGCCCCGGCUAACUUCGUGCCAGCAGCCGC
rnacentral:rRNA from 1 species